CAGUAGCCGCGGGAAUACGAAGGGUGCAAGCGUUACUCGGAAUUACUGGGCGUAAAGCGUGCGUAGGUGGUGGUUUAAGUCCGUUGUGAAAGCCCUGGGCUCAACCUGGGAAUUGCAGUGGAUACUGGGUCACUAGAGUGUGGUAGAGGAUAGUGGAAUUUCCGGUGUAGCAGUGAAAUGCGUAGAGAUCAGAAGGAACAUCUGUGGCGAAGGCGACUAUCUGGGCCAACACUGACACUGAGGCACGAAAGCGUGGGGAGCAAACAGGAUUAGAUACCCCUGUAGUCCCUGUCUCUUAUAC
rnacentral:rRNA from 1 species